rnacentral:rRNA from 1 species
CCCCUAGAUGUUCUGGGCCGCACGCGCGCUACACUGAACAGUUCAACAAGUCUUAACCUUGGCCGAUAGGUCUGGGUAAUCUUUGAACGCUGUUCGUGAUUGGGAUAGACCUUUGCAAUUAUGGGUCUUCAACGAGGAAUUCCUGGUAAACGCAAGUCAUCAGCUUGCAUUGAUUACGUCCCUGCCCUUUGUACACACCGCCCGUCGCACCUACCGAUUGAAUGGUCCGGUGAAGCGUUCGGACCGUGGCCUUUGGACGGUUCGCCGUCUGUUGGCUGCGGGAAGUUCGUUAAACCUUAUCAUUUAGAGGAAGGAGAANUCGUANCA